rnacentral:rRNA from 1 species
AGUGAACGCUGGCGGUAGGCCUAACACAUGCAAGUCGAACGGCAGCACAGUAAGAGCUUGCUCUUACGGGUGGCGAGUGGCGGACGGGUGAGGAAUACAUCGGAAUCUACUUUUUCGUGGGGGAUAGCGUAGGGAAACUUACGCUAAUACCGCAUACGACCUACGGGUGAAAGCAGGGGAUCUUCGGACCUUGCGCGAUUGAAUGAGCCGAUGUCGGAUUAGCUAGUUGGCGGGGUAAAGGCCCACCAAGGCGACGAUCCGUAGCUGGUCUGAGAGGAUGAUCAGCCACACUGGAACUGAGACACGGUCCAGACUCCUACGGGAGGCAGCAGUGGGGAAUAUUGGACAAUGGGCGCAAGCCUGAUCCAGCCAUACCGCGUGGGUGAAGAAGGUCUUCGGGUUGUAAAGCCCUUUUGUUGGGAAAGAAAAGCAGCAGGUUAAUACCCCGCUGUUCUGACGGUACCCAAAGAAUAAGCACCGGCUAACUUCGUG